rnacentral:rRNA from 1 species
CCUACGGGAGGCAGCAGUGAGGAAUAUUGGUCAAUGGGCGUAAGCCUGAACCAGCCAAGUCGCGUGAGGGAUGAAGGUUCUAUGGAUCGUAAACCUCUUUUAUAAGGGAAUAAAGUGUGGGACGUGUCCUGUUUUGUAUUUACCUUAUGAAUAAGGAUCGGCUAACUCCGUGCCGGCAGCCGCGGUAAUACGGAGGUGCCGAGCGUUUUCCGGAUUUAUUGGGUUUAAAGGGUGCGUAGGCGGCCUUUUAAGUCAGCGGUGAAAGUCUGUGGCUCAACCAUAGAAUUGCCGUUGAAACUGGGAGGCUUGAGUAUGUGUGAGGCAGGCGGAAUGCGUGGUGUAGCGGUGAAAUGCUUAGAUAUCACGCAGAACCCCGAUUGCGAAGGCAGCCUGCCAAGCCAUGACUGACGCUGAUGCACGAAAGCGUGGGGAUCAAACAGGAUUAGAUACCCGGGUAGUC